rnacentral:SRP_RNA from 1 species
GCUGGGCAUGGCGGCUCAUGUCUGUAAUCCCAGCACUUUGGGAAGCUGAGGCAGGUGGAUCACUUGAGGUCAGGAGUUCAAAACCAGCCUGGCCAACAUAGUGAAACCCUGUCUCUA